UACGGGGGGGGCAAGCGUUGUUUCGGAAUUACUGGGCGUAAAGGGCGCGUAGGCGGCCUGCUAAGUCGGACGUGAAAUCCCCCGGCUCAACCGGGGAACUGCGUCCGAUACUGGUGGGCUCGAAUCCGGGAGAGGGAUGUGGAAUUCCAGGUGUAGCGGUGAAAUGCGCAGAUAUCAGGAGGAACACCGGUGGCGAAGGCGGGUCUCUGGGCCGAUACUGACGCUGGAGGAGCGAAAGCGUGGGGAGCGAACAGG
rnacentral:rRNA from 1 species